AGCGGCGGACGGGUGAGUAACGCGUGGGAAUAUGCCCUUCUCUAAGGAAUAGCCUCGGGAAACUGAGAGUAAUACCUUAUACGCCCUUCGGGGGAAAGAUUUAUCGGAGAAGGAUUAGCCCGCGUUAGAUUAGGUAGUUGGUGGGGUAAUGGCCUACCAAGCCUACGAUCUAUAGCUGGUUUGAGAGGAUGAUCAGCCACACUGGGACUGAGACACGGCCCAGACUCCUACGGGAGGCAGCAGUAGGGAAUCUUAGACAAUGGGGGAAACCCUGAUCUAGCCAUGCCGCGUGUGUGAUGAAGGCCUUAGGGUCGUAAAGCACUUUCGCCAGAGAUGAUAAUGACAGUAUCUGGUAAAGAAACCCCGGCUAACUCCGUGCCAGCAGCCGCGGUAAUACGGAGGGGGUUAGCGUUGUUCGGAAUUACUGGGCGUAAAGCGUACGUAGGCGGAUUAGUAAGUUAGAGGUGAAAUCCCAGGGCUCAACCCUGGAACUGCCUUUAAUACUGCUAGUCUUGAGUUCGAGAGAGGUAAGUGGAAUUCCGAGUGUAGAGGUGAAAUUCGUAGAUAUUCGGAGGAACACCAGUGGCGAAGCGGCUUACUGGCUCGAUACUGACGCUGAGGUACGAAGUGUGGGGAGCAAACAGGAUAGAUACCCUGGUAGUCCACACCGA
rnacentral:rRNA from 1 species